rnacentral:rRNA from 1 species
GAUGAACGCUGGCGGCGUGCCUAAUACAUGCAAGUCGAGCGAACGGACGAGAAGCUUGCUUCUCUGAUGUUAGCGGCGGACGGGUGAGUAACACGUGGAUAACCUACCUAUAAGACUGGGAUAACUUCGGGAAACCGGAGCUAAUACCGGAUAAUAUUUUGAACCGCAUGGUUCAAAAGUGAAAGACGGUCUUGCUGUCACUUAUAGAUGGAUCCGCGCUGCAUUAGCUAGUUGGUAAGGUAACGGCUUACCAAGGCAACGAUGCAUAGCCGACCUGAGAGGGUGAUCGGCCACACUGGAACUGAGACACGGUCCAGACUCCUACGGGAGGCAGCAGUAGGGAAUCUUCCGCAAUGGGCGAAAGCCUGACGGAGCAACGCCGCGUGAGUGAUGAAGGUCUUCGGAUCGUAAAACUCUGUUAUUAGGGAAGAACAUAUGUGUAAGUAACUGUGCACAUCUUGACGGUACCUAAUCAGAAAGCCACGGCUAAUUACGUGCCACCAGCCGCGGAAGUACGUAGGUGGCAAGCGUGAUCAGAAAUUAUUGAACGUAAAGCGCGCGUAGGCGGUUUUUUAAGUCUGAUGUGAAAGCCCACGGGCUCUACCGUGGAGGGUCAUUGGAAACUGGAAAACUUGAGUGCAGAAGAGGAAAGUGGAAUUCCAUGUGUAGCGGUGAAAUGCGCAGAGAUAUGGAGGAACACCAGUGGCGAAGGCGACUUUCUGGUCUGUAACUGACGCUGAUGUGCGAAAGCGUGGGGAUCAAACAGGAUUAGAUACCCUGGUAGUCCACGCCGUAAACGAUGAGUGCUAAGUGUUAGGGGGUUUCCGCCCCUUAGUGCUGCAGCUAACGCAUUAAGCACUCCGCCUGGGGAGUACGACCGCAAGGUUGAAACUCAAAGGAAUUGACGGGGACCCGCACAAGCGGUGGAGCAUGUGGUUUAAUUCGAAGCAACGCGAAGAACCUUACCAAAUCUUGACAUCCUUUGACAACUCUAGAGAUAGAGCUUUCCCCUUCGGGGGACAAAGUGACAGGUGGUGCAUGGUUGUCGUCAGCUCGUGUCGUGAGAUGUUGGGUUAAGUCCCGCAACGAGCGCAACCCUUAAGCUUAGUUGCCAUCAUUAAGUUGGGCACUCUAAGUUGACUGCCGGUGACAAACCGGAGGAAGGUGGGGAUGACGUCAAAUCAUCAUGCCCCUUAUGAUUUGGGCUACACACGUGCUACAAUGGACAAUACAAAGGGCAGCGAAACCGCGAGGUCAAGCAAAUCCCAUAAAGUUGUUCUCAGUUCGGAUUGUAGUCUGCAACUCGACUACAUGAAGCUGGAAUCGCUAGUAAUCGUAGAUCAGCAACGCUGCGGUGAAUACGUUCCCGGG